rnacentral:rRNA from 1 species
GACGAAGGGGGCAAGCGUUGUUCGGAAUUAUUGGGCGUAAAGGGCGCGUAGGCGGUGCGGCAAGUCCCCUGUGAAAUCUCCGGGCUUAACUCGGAGCCUGCAGGAGAAACUGCCGUGCUUGAGUGUGGGAGAGGUGAGUGGAAUUCCCGGUGUAGCGGUGAAAUGCGUAGAUAUCUGGAGGAACACCGGUGGCGAAGGCGGCAUCCUGGACCAAUAUUGACGCUGAGGAGCGAAAGCUAGGGGAGCAAACGGG